GACGAACGCUGGCGGCGUGCUUAACACAUGCAAGUCGAACGGAAAGGCCCUGCUUUUGUGGGGUGCUCGAGUGGCGAACGGGUGAGUAACACGUGAGUAACCUGCCCUUGACUUUGGGAUAACUUCAGGAAACUGGGGCUAAUAUCGGAUAGGAGCUCCUGUUGCAUGGUGGGGGUUGGAAAGUUUCGGCGGUUGGGGAUGGACUCGCGGCUUAUCAGCUUGUUGGUGGGGUAGUGGCUUACCAAGGCUUUGACGGGUAGCCGGCCUGAGAGGGUGACCGGCCACAUUGGGACUAAGGUACGGCCCAGACUCCUACGUGAGGCAACAGUGGGGAAUAUUGCACAAUGGGCCGAAGCCUGAUGCAGCAGCGCCGCGUGCGGGAUGACGGCCUUCGGGUUGUAAACCGCAUUCGCCUGUGACGAAGCGUGAGUGACGGUAAUGAGUAAAGAAGCACCGGCUAACUACGUG
rnacentral:rRNA from 1 species